AGAGCGAACGCUGGCGGCAGGCCUAACACAUGCAAGUCGAACGGACUCUUCGGAGUUAGUGGCGGACGGGUGAGUAACACGUGGGAACGUGCCUUUAGGUUCGGAAUAGCUCCUGGAAACGGGUGGUAAUACCGAAUGUGCCCUUCGGGGGAAAGAUUUAUCGCCUUUAGAGCGGCCCGCGUCUGAUUAGCUUGUUGGUGAGGUAAUGGCUCACCAAGGCUACGAUCAGUAGCUGGUCUGAGAGGAUGACCAGCCACAUUGGGACUGAGACACGGCCCAAACUCCUACGGGAGGCAGCAGUGGGAAUCUUGCGCAAUGGG
rnacentral:rRNA from 1 species